GCAUAUCAAUAAGCGGAGGAAAAGAAACCAACAGGGAUUACCUCAGUAACGGCGAGUGAAGCGGUAACAGCUCAAAUUUGAAAUCUGGGUCUUUCAGGCCCCGAGUUGUAAUUUGUAGAAGAUGCUUCGGGUGCGGCUCCGGUCUAAGUUCCUUGGAACAGGACGUCAUAGAGGGUGAGAAUCCCGUAUGUGAUCGGUUGCCUGCGCCCGUGUGAAGCUCUUUCGACGAGUCGAGUUGUUUGGGAAUGCAGCUCAAAAUGGGUGGUAAAUUUCAUCUAAAGCUAAAUAUUGGCCAGAGACCGAUAGCGCACAAGUAGAGUGAUCGAAAGAUGAAAAGCACUUUGGAAAGAGAGUUAAACAGUACGUGAAAUUGUUGAAAGGGAAGCGCUUGCAACCAGACUUGCGCGUUGCUGAUCAUCCGGGGUUCUCCCCGGUGCACUCGGCCUCGCUCAGGCCAGCAUCGGUUCUGGUGGUGGGAUAAAGGCCUUGGGAAUGUAGCUCCCCUCGGGGAGUGUUAUAGCCCUCGGUGCAAUGCCGCCUACCGGGACCGAGGACCGCGCUUCGGCUAGGAUGCUGGCGUAAUGGUUGUAAGCGACCCGUCUUGAAACACGGACCAAGGAGUCUAACAUCUAUGCGAGUGUUUGGGUGUCAAACCCAUACGCGUAAUGAAAGUGAACGGAGGUGAGAACCCUUAAGGGUGCAUCAUCGACCGAUCCUGAUGUCUUCGGAUGGAUUUGAGUAAGAGCAUAGCUGUUGGGACCCGAAAGAUGGUGAACUAUGCCUGAAUAGGGUGAAGCCAGAGGAAACUCUGGUGGAGGCUCGCAGCGGGUUCUGACGUGCAAAUCGAUCGUCAAAUUUGGGUAUAGGGGCGAAAGACUAAUCGAACCAUCUAGUAGCUGGAUACUUGCGAGU
rnacentral:rRNA from 1 species